GAUACAUAUCGGAGAAUCGUUACAUCCCUACUAGCUAGCCACUUAAUAUAACUUGUUUUCUCUAAAUGUAUGUUGGCUAGCUAUGUUAUGAAUACAACUACCAUCUGCUGUCGACAUCAGGAUACGAUUUGAGAGCACUAGUUCGCUCCAAAAGUGGUUAUAGCUUUGACUGCAUGCAGACAGUGAAUUCAGAGCCACUGUGGCUAUAGCUACACUGCAAACAUAUUUUUUACCAGGCUCCCCUGAAGCAAUUGUAAUGGCAGUCCACCACAACAUACCCAAUAGCAUAUUGAUUAGCAAGGGUUAGUCUGUGUUUAGUUUCAGCCCCCUCUUGAAUUACUCCCUGUUCACCCAUGACUGUGUGGCUAAACACAUCUCCAACUCAAUCAUCAAGUUGGCUGAUGACACAACAGUGGUAGGCCUGAUUACCAACAACAACGAGAUAGCCUACUACAGAGCCUGGCGGAGUGGUGCCAGGAAAAUAACCUCUCCCACAAUGUCAACAAAACGAAAGAGCUGAUCUGGGACUACAGGAGACCACAGAGACAACACGCCCCAUUCACAUCACAUGGCCCCAGUGGAGGGUAAAAAAGCUUCAAGUUCCUUGGUGUGCACAUCACAGAGGACCUGAAAUGGUCCCACCACACAACACCGUGGUGAAGGACGUGCAACAUUGCCUCUUCAACCUAAGGAGACAAAUUCAGCUUGGCCCCUAACGAUAUGGAGAGCUGCGAAACACUGUCUGCAGAUGAAGAGGUACCAGUGAAUGUCCCAAGAACCUGCUUGGCACAUCCUUGUGUACCAUGGGUUGUAAAUGUUAGCACAUGUUGUAUACAGCAAUACAGUUAAAAGUAAUACACAAUUUAGGUUACAAACGUAUUACAACUGUAGCAGGCCAAUCCUUCUCCUGGAGGUAUGCUGGUUGUGCCGGCUUCUGUUCAAGCCCAGCACUAACACACCUGAUUCAAAUUAUCAAACCUAAUGAGUUGAUAAUAAUGUGUAUUAUUGGUGGGCUGGAAUAGAAAUAUGCUCACCAAGUAGAUCAAGGAGUGGAUCAAGGUUGGUCACAUCUGGUAUGGACUUUUUUUUGUUCACCUGAAAUGAAGCUUUCGUAAUAAUAGCCUACUUACUAAGAUGUCUAAGUUAGCUAAUUUGUACAUUUUGAAAUUAUAUGUUUAAACUUGUUUUAAUUGUUAAUUUAAAAAACAUAAUUCAAGAUGAACUAGUGUCAAUGUUCAUUAAUCACAGAUCAUAGUUGUACAAUAAAAAGGUGUGAAGGAAAAUAA